AUUGAACGCUGGCGGCAGGCCUAACACAUGCAAGUCGAACGGUAACAGGAAGAAGCUUGCUUCUUUGCUGACGAGUGGCGGACGGGUGAGUAAUGUCUGGGAAACUGCCUGAUGGAGGGGGAUAACUACUGGAAACGGUAGCUAAUACCGCAUAACGUCGCAAGACCAAAGAGGGGGACCUUCGGGCCUCUUGCCAUCGGAUGUGCCCAGAUGGGAUUAGCUAGUAGGUGGGGUAACGGCUCACCUAGGCGACGAUCCCUAGCUGGUCUGAGAGGAUGACCAGCCACACUGGAACUGAGACACGGUCCAGACUCCUACGGGAGGCAGCAGUGGGGAAUAUUGCACAAUGGGCGCAAGCCUGAUGCAGCCAUGCCGCGUGUAUGAAGAAGGCCUUCGGGUUGUAAAGUACUUUCAGCGGGGAGGAAGGGAGUAAAGUUAAUACCUGUGCUCAUUGACGUUACCCGAAGAAGAAGCACCGGCUAACUCCGU
rnacentral:rRNA from 1 species